UCACUCAUGGUGUAGUGGUUUAUCAUUCAAGCCUGUCACGCUUGAGACCCGGGUUCGACUCCCGGUGAGUGAG
rfam:Spraguea lophii 42_110 Contig_1459, whole genome shotgun sequence.